AAAAUACUUCCUCCGUCCCAAAAUUCNNNUCUUAGAUUUGUCUAAAAAUGAAUGUAUCUAAAUAUCAAAAUGUGACUAGAUACAUUCAUAACUAGAAAAAUAUAAGACAAGAAUUUUGGGACGGAGUGAGUAUAAA
rfam:Hordeum vulgare subsp. vulgare, WGS project CAJW01000000 data, contig: morex_contig_348305